rnacentral:rRNA from 1 species
GCAGCCGCCACGGUAAUACGGAGGGUGCGAGCGUUAAUCGGAUUUACUGGGCGUAAAGCGCGCGCAGGCGGUCUUAUAAGUCGGAUGUGAAAUCCCUGAGCUUAACCUGGGAAUUGCAUUUGAAACUGUCAGGCUGGAGUAUGGUAGAGGAUGGUAGAAUUUCAGGUGUAGCGGUGAAAUGCGUAGAUAUAGGGAGGAAUACCAGUGGCGAAGGCGACCACCUGGACAAAGACUGACACUGAGGUGCGAAAGCGUGGGGAGCAAACAGGAUUAGAUACCCGUGUAGUCCCUGUCUCUUAUAA